UUGCUUAUACAUGUUCUUGAGAUUCUGAUAUACUAUAAAUACCCAAUAAUGAGAUGAUUCAGUAUUAUAGAAAUUCAAAGAAAUUCGAAAGCAAGAGGAACUCCUUUUAUUAUUUGUUCCGUGGAGAAGCUCAUGCUCGACCAUUUUGCAUAGUUCCAUAGUGUCAAUUAAUAUGCAUCUAUGAGUUGUUUGCUUUUGUUUAGGGGGCAUUGCUACAGAUCUCUGAUAUGUGCAGGAUUUCAUUGGUGGUUCUAUUAUAUUUUCUGAAGGAGAUUCAUUAGUUGAAUUUCAAAAUGGAGCUCUUACAAGUAGCACAAAAAUCUUAGAACUAUAAGUGGGGUUUAAAACACUAUCAUUCUAAUCAUUUCCUUAAGAUGAGGUGACUUUAUCAUUCUAAGCUGGUUUGUGUGGACCGGUGUUUUAUUGGAUCCUCUUGCUAAGUAUGGCUCCAUGGUGCGAGAAUUCAGUAAUUUCCCUGUUUCAUGGUGUUUUGCAAUGGAGCUUUUCGCUUAAUAUCAGCACCAGAGCUCUGACUUGUAACAUUGCAGCUGCUUGAAUGCAGUGGGUUGAAUUCUUACUCCAAUUUGCCAUCUUUAACAUAGAACACUGAUGUUUGACUGUGGGUUUUCAUUUGAAUAUAUCACCAUGACCGGAUCUACUUCAUUAAUAUUGUGUUAUUGUUUUAAUCUGGGGAUUUUCCUGUUCUGAUAAAUCUUGAAGAAGUAAAUAACUUUUUUGGUCAUAAUCUGACGUGUUCUUCUGCCAUUCUGGAUACUGUUCUCUUU
rnacentral:lncRNA from 1 species